UACAAUAGGGGUUAAUAAAUUUUAUUGGUUUUGGUAUUUUUAUAUUUUUAUGGGUUUGUUUUUAUUAUUUUAAGGUAAAAUUUUAAUUUUUAAUUUAUGCUUGGGAUUAUAUAUUAUACGAUAAUGUUGUUUUAAACUA
rnacentral:rRNA from 1 species